rnacentral:misc_RNA from 1 species
CUGAGUUACCGCUCUAUAACCCUUUGUGAACAUACCUAUAACCGUUGCUUCGGCGGGCAGCGCGGCCACCGCGGCCCGCUCCCGGCCCCCAUCGUCGGGGCGCCCGCCGGAGGAUAACCGAAACUCUGAUUCAACGACGUUUCUUCUGAGUGGCACAAGCAAAUAAUCA